rnacentral:lncRNA from 1 species
UUUAGUCAGACUUCCAAAAGGAGAAGGUGAAGAAUAAGAAUAAGGGCAAGUUUAUGAUCAAGAUAUCGAGAGGCAUCAAGGCCAUCUUCAAGUGGGGGCAGACGAACAAGAAGAUACCAGUUGAGGAUAACGAUAAUGGCGAAGAGUAUUCUUUCAUGUCAAAUAUUGCUGGUGAUAUAAUGUUGAUGAUACCAAUGAUGAUGAGGCUGCGAGUUCUUCACGGCAGUGAUUAGCCUUCCUCCUGCAGUCUGCUAGUAUGAUACAGACCUCAGGGAGACCCUCAAACUAUUUGUAUUUUUAUUUUGAUAUUGUGUAGUGAGGACACUGCAAUGUUGUUAGUUGGAGUGGCUUUAGGGAGUACACUUUGUUGAUACAUUGAUACUUGACUUGUGCCCUUGCC